CCAGACUCCUACGGGAGGCAGCAGUGGGGAAUAUUGGGCAAUGGGCGCAAGCCUGACCCAGCAACGCCGCGUGAAGGAAGAAGGCUUUCGGGUUGUAAACUUCUUUUAUUCGGGACGAAGAAAGUGACGGUACCGAAUGAAUAAGCCACGGCUAACUACGUGCCAGCAGCCGCGGUAAUACGUAGGUGGCAAGCGUUAUCCGGAUUUAUUGGGUGUAAAGGGCGUGUAGCCGGGCUGACAAGUCAGAUGUGAAAUCCGGGGGCUCAACCCCCGAACUGCAUUUGAAACUGUUGGUCUUGAGUAUCGGAGAGGCAGGCGGAAUUCCGUGUGUAGCGGUGAAAUGCGUAGAUAUACGGAGGAACACCAGUGGCGAAGGCGGCCUGCUGGACAAUAACUGACGCUGAGGCGCGAAAGCGUGGGGAGCAAACAGGAUUAGAUACCCGUGUAU
rnacentral:rRNA from 1 species